AGCAGCCGCGGUAAUUCCAGCUCCAAUAGCGUAUAUUAAAGUUGUUGCAGUUAAAAAGCUCGUAGUUGAAUUUCGGGGUCAGUAGGCUGGUCGUGCCACAGGUAUGUACUGGUCUUACUGAUUCCUCCUUCCUGAUGAACCGUAAUGCCAUUAAUUUGGUGUUGCGGGGAAUCUGGACUGUUACUUUGAAAAAAUUAGAGUGUUUAAAGCAGGCUAACGCUUGAAUACAUUAGCAUGGAAUAAUGAAAUAGGACGAUCGAUCCUAUUUUGUUGGUUUCUAGGAUUGACGUAAUGAUUAAUAGGGAUAGUUGGGGGCAUUAGUAUUCAAUUGUCAGAGGUGAAAUUCUUGGAUUUAUUGAAGACUAACUACUGCGAAAGCAUUUGCCAAGGAUGUUUUCAUUAAUCUAAGAACGAAAGUUAGGGGAGUCGAAGACGAUCAGAUACCGUCGUAGUCUUAACCAUAAACUAUGCCGACUAGGGAUCGGAUGAUGUUAAUUUUUUAAUGUACUCAUUCGGUCCG
rnacentral:rRNA from 1 species